AGUCGUCGGACGGCGUUCGGCAUCCGCACAUAAUAAUUUCUCUCUAAAUUGAGGUAAAAGCCCUUUUGCCGCAUCUGACUUGGAAUCUCAGUUCUUCAUUGAGAAAUUAUAGACCCUUAAUUCUAUGGUUCUGCUAUCACAGGACCCAUUGGUAAGGAAUGUGCUGAUCUGUGGCCAAGGAUUGCCAGUGCAGCCAAUGCAAUCGUCUGACAAACUAAAUUUGUCUGUCAGGAAUAAAUUUUGAUCAAAGUUUCUUAUUACCUUCGCUGAUGUGAUGUAGUCAAUGACCAUUCUGCUUUCAUUUGCUUCCAGUUUUGAUCAUUUUAAUUUGCUGAACAUCGCCUAUAUACUGAAUUGCUACCUUUGUCAUUACUGUGGAACAUGAACUAGCUUUGAAGUAAGAAGCUUUGUGGUUUGCAUCUUUAUAUAUCUAAACUAAUUGAUAGGA